rnacentral:rRNA from 1 species
GUGUCAGCAGCCGCGGUAAUACGAAGGGGGCUAGCGUUGUUCGGAAUCACUGGGCGUAAAGCGCACGUAGGCGGAUCUUUAAGUCAGAGGUGAAAGCCUGGAGCUCAACUCCAGAACUGCCUUUGAUACUGGGGAUCUCGAGUCCGGGAGAGGUGAGUGGAACUGCGAGUGUAGAGGUGAAAUUCGUAGAUAUUCGCAAGAACACCAGUGGCGAAGGCGGCUCACUGGCCCGGAACUGACGCUGAGGUGCGAAAGCGUGGGGAGCAAACAGGAUUAGAUACCCCGGUAGUCC